rnacentral:lncRNA from 1 species
UUUCUCUCAAUUUCUUCAAAUCAAACCACAUUUCCUUGCCUAAUUCAUCACUCUGAAGCAUCAUUGAUCAUUAUUGGACUUGAAACCAAGGCAAUUCGUGCACAUUGGAGCAGCUCAAGCUUGAAGCUCAUCAAUGGUGAAAUCCAAAUUCGGUUGAAUCAAGGACAAUUGGACCUCAAGCCUUCAUCCAAACACUUGUACAAGC